CAAUAGCGUAUAUUAAAGUUGUUGCAGUUAAAAAGCUCGUAGUUGGAUUUGUGGCGUACGGUGUGUUCCGGGCACUUGUUGUCUGAGUAACCUGCUGUUGCCAUCCUUGGGUGGAACCUGUGUGGCAUUAGGUUGUCGUGCAGGGGAUGCCCAUCAUUUACUGUGAAAAAAUUAGAGUGUUCAAAGCAGGCUUAUGCCGUUGAAUAUAUUAGCAUGGAAUAAUGAGAUAGGACUUUUUUGCUAUUUUGUUGGUUUGCGCAAAGAGGUAAUGAUUAAUAGGGACAGUUGGGGGUAUUCGUAUUCCAUUGUCAGAGGUGAAAUUCUUGGAUUUUUGGAAGACGAACUACUGCGAAAGCAUUUAUCAAGGAUGUUUUCAUUAA
rnacentral:rRNA from 1 species